UACGUAGGGGGCAAGCGUUGUCCGGAAUCAUUGGGCGUAAAGCGCGUGUAGGCGGCUUGAUAAGUCUGCUCUGAAAGCCCGGGGCUCAACCCUGGGAGGCGGGUGGAUACUGUCGAGCUCGAGUCCGGAAGAGGCGAGUGGAAUUCCUGGUGUAGCGGUGAAAUGCGCAGAUAUCAGGAGGAACACCAAUGGCGAAGGCAGCUCGCUGGGGACGGUACUGACGCUGAGACGCGAAAGCGUGGGGGAGCAAAAACAGGAUUAGAAACCCCGGGU
rnacentral:rRNA from 1 species